CACAUUUGGAUCUCUUAGCUCAUUUAACCCUCGCAAUAACCAUCUGAGGUCGAUGCAAUCAUAGACUCUAUUUACAAACAAGGAAACCAAGACACUGAGAGGCUAAAGUCACCUGUCCAAGGUCACCAAGCUCCUGGUGACCUUGAAUCUACUUUCUGCUGCUGAGAAUUUACCUAUUUUGGAUGCUUCAUGAGACGAUUCCUCUUAGCAAAAGGGCACUGUGUACCCUCCAAGGCUGGAAAUGAUAGGUUUUCGGCGAGGAGUGAAAAUAUUGUGCUGACAGCCCUUUGCCUGUGUAGAGCAGGGUUGUUUACUCGCGCUGGAGCACAGCUUUAUUGAAGCAGAGAGUCAUGGUCCCAUCAUCAGGGUUGCCUAGCAACCAGUCUACGCCACUCCACAGAGUUUCAGAAUGGGCUGGACCACAAGUACCCACUUUGGGGGAUUUCCAGUGACAGUCCUACUCUCACUCCAUCACAUCGCUUCUAAAAUCUGAGUCACAUGGUUCAAAUUUCACAGUACAAAGUGUGUUCUUCAGAUCUGGGGUUCUCUCCAAAAUGGAUAAUCAUUAUUGAUUUUGUAAUGCAAUGCCAAGACCAUCAGUAAGGUUAUGUGAAGUUGGCAGUUCCCAAGGGCUUUAGGCUUGAAGCUGUGGGUCAUACCCCUUCGGAAACUUGGUCCCCAAGAGAAAUGUAUGCUUCUGAAAACCACAGGUGCAUGAAUCGUGUUUAGUAAAUGACUACUAAACUGAAAUCAGGACUUGUCUAUAUCUUGGCUUCUCAAACUUGAAUAUGCUUAUCAUCUGGAUAGCAAAAGCAUUCCUACACGUUGAGGCCUGCCAGCGUGGGUGUCACCCAGGAGCCACUCGGAAAGGCUCAUCGGAAACCACCCCGGACUGACUGAGGCAGAAUCUCUGGGGGCAGGACCCAGGCCUCAGCAUAAAAACUCCAGGUGACGGAAGAGCUCCCACCUAACAGGUGUGUUGGCAUUGUUGUAGGUGACUGACGUAGUUUCCCAUCUCACAACUCUACCUCCAUGAAGAAAAGUCAUGGAAAAUUGAGACUUUGGGCUGAGUGUGGCUCAUCCCUGUAAUCUUAGUGCUUUGGGAGGCUGAGGUAGGAGGAUCGCUUGAGGCCAGGAAUUUGAGGCCAG
rnacentral:lncRNA from 1 species